UUCUCUAUUGGAAGUGUUGCUUGCAUCAUUCAUUUCCCAGAAUGUUGUAGAGUUGUACUUAAAACCACAAGCUGACAAAUGGAAACAUAUUUUUAAUGUAGAUACGAAAUCUGCUUCAAUUUUACUAACCACAAAUGUUUUCGUUUACUAGAAUAACACUUCUCCUAGUUGUGAAUGUUCACUUAAAUGACCUUUCCAAAAAUGGUGAAAUCCUAGCUCUGAGCAGCUAUUAAAAGUACCUUCAAGAUGUUUUGAGUCAUACUGCUUUAGUGGACUUUUCUCGUCUUACUCUUGCUACCAUCUGCAGGCCUUUCCUGCGCAGGAAAACUGACUUUCUAGGCAAAAGAAACACAAUGGAUCUAAUAGAGCUUGACUACAGACCCCACAUAAUCUAACUUGAAGAAGGCACAAAGAUAAUGCUGUUAAGAAGUUACCUCGUGAUGGCAAGACAAGAGUUCUGUUCACUGCUGUUCAAGAAAGACCAAUUUAAACUGUUCUCAGCAGCUGAACAAGCCCAAAGAGAGUCUUUAGCCUGGGUGCUCUCUGCCUCAUCACAACUUGACAGAUCCUCUCUCCUGCUCCCAGAAGUCCAAAAGUGAAAAAGGGAAUCCUGUGAUUUUCCAUAUGCAUUGAUGAUAACUUCCUUCUCCAAGUAAUAGAGGAGCCACCAAGGAGAGGUGCUGUGCUGGACCUUGUUCUCAUCAACAAGGAGGGUCUGAUGUGGAAUGUGAAGCUCAAGGGCAGCCAGGGCUGCAGUGACCAUUGAAUGGUGGAGUUCAAGAUCCCUAGGGAAGCAUGGAGGGAGCACACGGAAGCUCACUACCCUGGAAUUUGGGAGAGCAGACUUGGGCCUUUUCAGGGAUCUGCUUGGUAGAGUAUCACGGGAUAAAUCUCUGGAGGGAAGAGGGGCCCAAGAAAGCUGGUUAAUAUCCAAGGAUCACCUCCUUCAACCUCAGGAGUGACCCAUCUCAAGAAAGAGGAAGUCGGCAAAAAAUGCCAGGAAGCCUGCCUGAACUGAUGAAAAACUUGGUCUACAAGAAGGUGUCCCUGCCCAUGGAGUGGAGUUGCAACUCAAUAUUUAAGGUUUUUUCCAACCCAAACCAUUCCGGGAUCUAGCUCCAUGCAUGACUAAAGUAACUGCACAAUUAUAUUCCUGUAACUCCAGCCUUCUCCACUGCUUCCCUUUCCUCGGUUAUCUCCAGUCUGCCAUCAUUCAGACUUUGUGCUCCACUGGCACAAAGCGCAGAGCCCCGGGUGAUGUUUGUUACAGAUGUGUUCUGUAUGGAUACAUUUUACAGCUCACUUGUUCUGUCAGGAUUCAGGUGUGAUAUUGAUUUAAAAAUUUGAAGGAGAAGGAACUCAUCUUCAAGUAUAUCCAAGUUUGUGUUUAGCCUUACUCAUCGCUUUUAGUAUUAGGCAGAACUGUCAGUAGAGUUUUUACGGGACUGGUUAUACCCCAAAAAUAUGAGCAUUCUUAUGGUUUAUAAUAGUGGUGCCAGAGCUGCAUCUACAGAGUAUAAGGAUCUGGGGCUCCCAACUUGCAAAAUUACUUUGUUUAGUUCCCUUCUAACCCAAAUUAUUCCAUGAGUCUAUGGGCAUUACCAGAACUAAGCACUGUGCAGAGGAUGAAGCCCUAAAUUAGAAAGCACUAAGCAGAAAUUCAAGCAGACCAUGGAAUUGCUGGACUGGGCAAAAAAGCUGUUAGCCUUGUAAAUUCAUCUCAUUAAUUUUCUUCCUUUCUCAGUGCAGUGAAACCACAAUUUCUAUCCCCCAUGUUAUCCUGUAAAAUAUUUUAAUGUUUGAGUCAGUGCACUCCAGGCAGUUAAUAGAUUCUUUCAUAUAUUUGUGAUUGCUUGACUUUCAUCAAUUUACAUUUAUUUGUUCAUGGGACAUUUUAAUCCCUCAGUGGGGCGAAGUAAAAAAUCAACAACCACUAAAACCACUUCUAUCAGUUUUAUCAAAUUGUUCUUUAAUCAAUACUGGGCAUUUUUUUCUUUCUUUUAGACUGCUAAAAAAAAUUCAGUUUCCUAGCUAGUUUCUUCAAGUUUACCUGAAAGAGACAGGGUGGAGAGGGAAGAUAGAUUGCCCAAAUUUCAUAUUUGUAUUAUAGCUAUUCAAGUGGAAUGAAAAUAAGUAUUUAAAAAGGAGUGGCAACAGAUUUUUCAAGGAUUAGUGUUUAUAUCACAGAUAAAGCAGAAGAGGACAGACAAGGCAUGAUAAGAAGUAAAAAUGGUCAGAAGUGGGUGUGACUGUGAAGGAGGAAGAAAAUUAAAAGCUGAAUGAUGGUAAAAGAGACAGUCAGGGAAGGGACUUAAAUCAAGGAGAAAAAUGGGUAAGAAUAAGUGUACUAACUUUUGUUUGUGAUAUAGAUGAAGGGGCUAUUAAGGAUGUCUCCCAUAAGGAUAGAGGGGGAAAGAAAAGGCAGGGAACAUACAAGAAUGCUGUGAGUUUGAGAGAAAAGAUUGCAAAGCUUGGGCAUGGUCUGUCUGCCUUGAGGUAGGACUGACUUUUAUUAAUUCAAACAACAGGGUAGGACAAAAGAAGAACAAUGCUUAUAAAGAGACUAGAGGAAUUGGAUUAGCACUUCAGGGGGGUCCUUGGAAGUUCAGCAGCAGCUGUAUGAAAGUUGGAUUGGCAAAGACACUUCCCCAGGAAGACAUGAUGGCUAAAAUGUAGGACUGGAUGGAUGGAGAGACCAAGAUAAAUGCACGUGCCACUGGUGCCAGUGUUACUGGGUACUGAUACACCAGGAAAGGCAGAAGAGUGAAAGCCUGCUGAGAUUUCCAUGGCAAAUGGAAAUGGAAAAGGAAGUCUCAGCUGUCGAAAGGAAGAAGCAAAGAUGGAGUUGUGAAGGCCAAGGAGAGAAAGUGUUGAGAGAAAAAAGAAAGUUGGCAGAGAGAUGACAGAAGUUAGAGGCCAGGAUAGGUGAAGAUAUAAAAAAAGACAACAUCAUUUAAGGAGGCAGAAGUCACGAGAGUGAUUUCAAUAGUGCAGUGAGAGAAGAUAGCAGAAUGUCAGAAUGCAAGACAGAGUAGAAAAGAAGCUUGGAAGUCCUCUGUGUGUGAGUUGUGGUUUUAGUAAACCUUGGUGAGAUUUGAGCCAGGGAAAUGAGGGGAUGUUGUGGUUAUUGAGAAUAGCAGUGUGCACACUACAGGAAAGUUAGUGAAGGCUCUGAAGGACAGAGGGAACAAGAUGGGGAAGUGUUAUGAGCAUGCAAAAGAGAGGUGGUGUGAGCAUCAGUAUCUUCAGGAAUUGGUUUAUGCAGUCUUGCACUGUGAAGAGAACUCAUAGGAAAAAACUUCCUAGCACAGGUAGGGAAGAUGUUUUCAGAGAUGUGUCCUUCCUCUAUCUGAAACCUGAUGGAUGUACAUGGAUCCUUUAGCAUCGAGGCUGGCUUUCAGACAAACCAGCAAGAUGGAAAGGAGUAAUUAAUCAUAAGGAGAGAGAGUUAAGGGAAAGGAGGGAAAGAAUUUGGUUCAGAAAUAUGGAACUAUCUAAUUAGCCUAACUGGUAUCCAUCAUCUACCAUUUCCUACAGCAUCAGCACUUCCCAGUAUCCACUGUACUGAAAGUCUGUGUAAUGACAAGUGGGAUUCAGGUCAUUGAAAGGCCAGCAGCUGUACCUGCUGACUUCUAAGCUUAUCCCCAUCUCUCUUUUGUCAAAGAUAAGAAGCAGAAAAAGAAAAACCAGUUUUCAAAGUUGGGGUCAGCAGAGAUGAGCACACCAUUUGCAUUUUAGUUUAUUAAUGUGGGCUAGCUCAGCAGGCAGUCUAGAACACUGAUAAAAGAUUCUGUAACCAAAAAACCAGGGUCAGUGACUGCAAAUCAUUUUUCCCCCUAAAGCAAAUGAGGC